rnacentral:rRNA from 1 species
AGUGAACGCUGGCGGUAGGCCUAACACAUGCAAGUCGAACGGCAGCACAGUAAGAGCUUGCUCUUACGGGUGGCGAGUGGCGGACGGGUGAGGAAUACAUCGGAAUCUACUUUUUCGUGGGGGAUAACGUAGGGAAACUUACGCUAAUACCGCAUACGACCUACGGGUGAAGGCAGGGGAUCUUCGGACCUUGCGCGAUUGAAUGAGCCGAUGUCGGAUUAGCUAGUUGGCGGGGUAAAGGCCCACCAAGGCGACGAUCCGUAGCUGGUCUGAGAGGAUGAUCAGCCACACUGGAACUGAGACACGGUCCAGACUCCUACGGGAGGCAGCAGUGGGGAAUAUUGGACAAAGGGCGCAAGCCUGGUCCAGCCAUACCGCGUGGGUGAAGAAGGCCUUCGGGUUGUAAAGCCCUUUUGUUGGGAAAGAAAAGCAGCAGGUUAAUACCCCGCUGUUCUGACGGUACCCAAAGAAUAAGCACCGGCUAACUUCGUG